rnacentral:tRNA from 1 species
UUAAAAAUAAGCUAAAAUAAGCUUUUGGGCUCAUACCUCAAGUAUAAAGGUAAUCCUUUUUUUUAAA